rnacentral:rRNA from 1 species
AUGGCCGACGCCGCCGACUUCCAGCAGCUGCAGAUGGUGCCGUACGACGGCGGCAACAACGACGGCCUACCCGAGCGAUUCCCAGGGGGACAUGGCUUCCAGAUGCAACCAGGGUGCGCUGGCGACAACUACUCGGGCGGCUGUGAUGGGAUGAUCGCGCCGGGCCUCGCCAAUGCUGACUACAACUACUCGGGCUGCGGCGACCGGAUGCUCGCUCCGGACUUCGCCGAUGCUGGCUACAAGUACGACUACUCGGGCGGCGGCGACGGGAUGCUCACGCUGGGCCCCGCCAAUGCUGGCUGCAACUACUCGGGCGGCGGCGACGGGAUGCUCACGCUGGGCCCCGCUAAUGCUGGCUGCAACUACUCGAGCGGCGGCGACGGGAUGCUCGCGCGCGGCUUCGCCAAUGCUGGCUACGACUGCUCGGGCGGCGGCGGCCAGAUGCUCGCGCCGGGCUUCGGCAACGCUGGUUACAACUUACAACUGGCCUGA